rnacentral:rRNA from 1 species
CCUACGGGUAGCAGCAGUGGGGAAUAUUGCACAAUGGGGGGAACCCUGAUGCAGCGACGCCGCGUGAGUGAAGAAGUAUUUCGGUAUGUAAAGCCCUAUCAGCAGGGAAGAAAAUGACGGUACCUGACUAAGAAGCCCCGGCUAACUACGUGCCAGCAGCCGCGGUAAUACGUAGGGGGCAAGCGGUAGCCGGAUUUACUGUGGGUAAAGGGAGCGUCGACGGUUAUGCAAGUCUGAAGUGAAAGCCCAAGGCUCAACCAUGGGACGGACUUGGACAGGGUAAAACUGGAGUGCAGGAGAGGUAAGCGGAAUUCCUAGUGUAGCGGUGAAAUGCGUAGAUAUUAGGAGGAACACCAGUGGCGAAGGCGGCUUACUGGACUGUAACUGACGUUGAGGCUCGAAGGCGUGGGGAGCAAACAGGAUUAGAUACCCUAGUAGUC